rnacentral:rRNA from 1 species
GGAUUAGAUACCCUGGUAGUCCAUACUGUCAACGAUGAGUGUUAAAUGUUGCAUAUUUUAUUCAGUGUUACAGCUAACGCGUUAAACACUCCACCUGGGGAGUACGGUCGCAAGAUUAAAACUCAAAGGAAUUGGCGGGAGUCUAUACAAGCGGUGGAGCAUGUGGUUUAAUUCGAUAAUACGCGCAAAACCUUACCAGCUCUUGUGAUAACUAAUGUUUUAAAAAGAGAGAUCUUUUUAUAUAUAAUUAAGACAGGUGUUGCAUGGCUGUCGUCAGCUCGUGCCG